rnacentral:lncRNA from 1 species
GUGUGCCAGGUGGUGGCAUUGCCAUCACCUUCCCACCCUGAGUAUGGUCCGCUGCACCCCACUGACUUCUCACUGUUUCAGUUUUCCACAUCUCUUCUGAUCACUUCCCGCAGCCCUGCAGGUAAAAUAGCUUUAAGUACUGCACACAGAAGGAAGAAAGCCAAAACUCAGCUUGCUUGCUUAGCUCCUCAGCAGCUCCUUCACCCCCCUUGCUGGUGGCAUCCUGGUGAGCUGAAGGAUGGAUUCCCCCAGAGGCUUUCUGAUUUUGACAAACUGAAAACACCAUUUGUUUUCGUUCUGUUUAUCUUGGCUACCUGCUGUCCUGCUUUCAUGACAGCCAUCCUCAUGGAAAUUUGUUCCACACUGACACUAAUUCAUAUUCCCUUAUAUUUGGCUCCGUCAACGCUAGCAUUUCAUCUUUGCAAGCUGUAGAGGUUUGGGCAGGCACUGCCAUUGCUGCAUUUUUGUACAGUGCCUCUGACCCACUGCUUGCAGGGUCAUCACGCUCUGUGCCUUUAAGCUUUCUUAAAUUGCUUCUAAUGGCUCAAGUCUUUUCUUGCCCCCUUCUGACUCUCGGGACUAGUUUUUUUAUUUUGUUGGAAAUUCGCAUUGCUGUGUGGCUCUACUCUGUACCCCUCAUUUCUGCNNNNNNNNNNNNNNNNNNNNNNNNNNNNNNNAGCACAGGGAUGGAUUUGGGUCCCUCGCACCUGCUGGGGCCUGAGAGCAAAGGGAGCAGCCCUCCCCUGCCCCCUCAAACCUGUGGUGGCAAGACAGUUUUCCCCGUGGGUGCUGUUCGUUUCCAAGGGUUGGUGUCUUCCCUGACUUCCUUUCCUGUUGAAUGUGAUGGUUUUGAUGAGAGGCAGCUGGCAUUGUGGGUACCACUGACAGCUGUCGUGUCUCAGCAUUUACUCGUGUCUCUGACAGGGUGCUGGAACAGCCCAAACCAGUCAGUUCAGCCCAGCAUGGUUGGAAGAAGCCUUUCCAAACCAGUGCCCUGUUGGGCAGAGGAUGGAUGCACUCUCAGGGAAAGCUUUGCAAAAACUCAGCAUUGCUGUAUCAAGGCUCCUGACUUGGGACCAAUUGCAGGCUUGACAUCUAGCAGCUCUUCCCUAUGGACAGUAAAUUUCAAGAGGCUGGAGGUGACAGAGAAAGCAUGGUAAAUGCAGCGUCUCCCUGGG